rnacentral:rRNA from 1 species
GACCAUCUCCUAAGGCUAAAUACUCUCUAGUGACCGAUAGUGAACCAGUACCGUGAGGGAAAGGUGAAAAGCACCCCGGAAGGGGAGUGAAAUAGAACCUGAAACCGUGUGCUUACAAGUAGUCAGAGCCCGUUAAUGGGUGAUGGCGUGCCUUUUGUAGAAUGAACCGGCGAGUUACGAUUUGAUGCAAGGUUAAGCAGUAAAUGUGGAGCCGUAGCGAAAGCGAGUCUGAAUAGGGCGUUUAGUAUUUGGUCGUAGACCCGAAACCAGGUGAUCUACCCUUGGUCAGGUUGAAGUUCAGGUAACACUGAAUGGAGGACCGAACCGACUUACGUUGAAAAGUGAGCGGAUGAACUGAGGGUAGCGGAGAAAUUCCAAUCGAACCUGGAGAUAGCUGGUUCUCUCCGAAAUAGCUUUAGGGCUAGCCUCAAGUGAUGAUUAUUGGAGGUAGAGCACUGUUUGGACGAGGGGCCCCUCUCGGGUUACCGAAUUCAGACAAACUCCGAAUGCCAAUUAAUUUAACUUGGGAGUCAGAACAUGGGUGAUAAGGUCCGUGUUCGAAAGGGAAACAGCCCAGACCACCAGCUAAGGUCCCAAAAUAUAUGUUAAGUGGAAAAGGAUGUGGCGUUGCCCAGACAACUAGGAUGUUGGCUUAGAAGCAGCCAUCAUUUAAAGAGUGCGUAAUAGCUCACUAGUCGAGUGACACUGCGCCGAAAAUGUACCGGGGCUAAACAUAUUACCGAAGCUGUGGAUUGUCCUUUGGACAAUGGUAGGA